GGAAGUAUAUAGUUAUAAUAAUUAGAAAUUUUAAAUGUUCGCCUCACAUCCCAUGUACAGUGUAAAAUUCGUUGGAAGUAGAUCAACCGACAGGACUUGGUAUUACCAGCAUGACCAAUGUAAAUAUUAGUUUAAGUAGUGUAGGAGUUAAUUUGGUGAUGGUGGGAUUUGGACCAUAGGUCAACUUUUAAUGGUCAUGUGUUUUUAUCCCAAUUUGGGAGUAUUGCCUUCUUUGUAUAUUUUGUCCUUCCUUGUCGGGUUGAUGUCUUUAAAGGGGAAAUAAUCUGUGUAGCAGUAGUUAAUUGGAAAUUUAGGGCGGUAUUAAUGAAUUUGUCUUGAGGACAGUAGUUGAUUAAACAAUUUUGUGUUUUUUAAACUGGUAGUAUUUAGUAUUUAUUUUGACUAAGUAAGUCAGAGUAGGAUAAUUUUUUUUUUUCCAUAUAAGCUGUUAAGUUGUAGGUUUACCCAUUGUUCCCAUAUUGUGGAAAGGUUACUAAUCUAUUAAGUUUUGUUGUCUAGUUCCUUCAUUUUUUAGGGAAGUUUAAUGAUUUUUGAAUCCAUAUCCUAGAUUCAGGGGGUGGUUAUUUUUUAAAGAUAUCUUGUGUCAUGCUUGAGUUAGUAAAAGACGUUGCCAGUCUUAUCCAGGGGAGUUAUAAGUUCUCUAGUGUCCCUUGUCGGAACUAAAGUUCCUCCUUUUUAAGAUGGAGGGGGUGUUGUGUAAUUGCCCAGUAGUUCUAGGGGGUUUCCUCUGUCUGGUGUGAUCUACUGGUAAAGAGCAGAGAGACCCGAAUGGAGACAUGACACAAGGGUCACGCUUGACCGGAUACAGCCUCUUCUUGACCUGGAUGAUCACGAUACAAAGCCUAUCGAGAACUAGACAAGAUAAAUCCCUGUAGGAAACCAAACCUGAAGGUAAAUAUCUACACAUAUUUACACCUGUUACACACAUAA
rnacentral:lncRNA from 1 species